rnacentral:lncRNA from 1 species
GUUGCCUUUAUUAUAUCCAUUUCUGUAUUCGUACCAGCACCUCGCAAAAUAAUUGUCUCAGCAGACUCCCUUGGGCAAUACUUCACAGACAUGACUGUGCACGCCAGUCACCCAGAGAUCAUGUUAAAAUGCACAUCUGGUUCAGCAGGCCUAGGUUUCUGUAUGUUAUAGAAGUUCAAAGAAGACAAACUCUAGCCAAGAGCAGUGUGAAGAAAAGAAGACGCUAUAUUAAUCACAGUCCAGGGAUGCCUUCUGGCUUCCUGGCAGCAAUUCCGGCCUGAGAUUCCUUCUCUGUGCAUACUUCCUGUCAACAUUGUGUGAUGUCAAGCUGUGGCCGUCACAAAAGUACUGUGAACACCUGUAAAUCCCAACUAUCAAAAAUCACACCCAGGAAUCCAAAUUAGCAUUAUUAUGUCAAAAGAAAAACCUGAUUUCUUCA